UAGAGUUUGAUCAUGGCUCAGAUUGAACGCUGGCGGCAGGCCUAACACAUGCAAGUCGAACGGUAACAGGAAUCAGCUUGCUGAUUCGCUGACGAGUGGCGGACGGGUGAGUAAUGUCUGGGAAACUGCCUGAUGGAGGGGGAUAACUACUGGAAACGGUAGCUAAUACCGCAUAACGUCGCAAGACCAAAGAGGGGGACCUUCGGGCCUCUUGCCAUCGGAUGUGCCCAGAUGGGAUUAGCUAGUAGGUGGGGUAACGGCUCACCUAGGCGACGAUCCCUAGCUGGUCUGAGAGGAUGACCAGCCACACUGGAACUGAGACACGGUCCAGACUCCUACGGGAGGCAGCAGUGGGGAAUAUUGCACAAUGGGCGCAAGCCUGAUGCAGCCAUGCCGCGUGUAUGAAGAAGGCCUUCGGGUUGUAAAGAACCUUCAGCGGGGAGGAAGGGAGUAAAGUUAAUACCUUUGCUCAUUGACGUUACCCGCAGAAGAAGCACCGGCUAACUCCGUGCCAGCAGCCGCGUAAUACA
rnacentral:rRNA from 1 species